CCUGUUAAAGCUCAGCUGGGAGAGCGCUUGCAUGGCAUGCAAGAGGUCGACGGUUCGAUCCCGUCUAGCUCCACCA
rnacentral:tRNA from 1 species